UCGAGUAAGGAGGCGGCCAGACUCUUCGCCGGAGCGCCUCCGCCCGCCUCCAACCACAAGGAAUGCAAAAAGGCGAGAUGCAGGAAAGUAAAUUUGUAAGGCGACAGGCGCAUAGCAUAUCGGGUUGUUUGUCGGGAUACUGCUGUUGUUUUCUGGGACGAUGCCGGUGCAAAUCGAGAUGAAUGCGCUGUUCGAGUUGCCGUUCUGGAAGCCUCUAAGAAGAAGCGUUUGGGUCUGGAAGCGGCGCGCUAAGCGGGAUAUGUUCCUACCUCAUACGGAUUUGAUUUGGUAACGCAGACAGGGACGCACUUAACGCUACCUUGCAUGAAGAAAUUUUCGUAUCGAGAAUUGGCGAUUCCAGGAUAGCCGGCUUUAACGUAGCCUAGCUUGCCAUGCCUCUACAUCUAAAUAAAUGAAAGUGAAAAAGUGAAAAGUGAAAAUAAAUGAACAAAUGAAAAUCAUCUGGAAGAGUCAUUCAAGUCAUUCAACAGGCACGCAAGUCGUUUCAUGCAUGCCUACGUAUAUGCCACUUUGGUCCUUUACAACAACGAGAGCCACAAUAACAACAACAAACAAUAAUGACAAAGCCGCGCGCCUGGAACGCACCUAACGCAUUUCAUUUAUUGACAUUAUAUUAGGAGACGUUCGCGCACAAAUACGGCGCCAG